GGAGUUGAUGAUGACGAUUUACUCGGUUAUAUAAUUGCUGAGUUAGAUGAAGACUAUGAUCCAGUGAUCUCUUCCAUCAUCGGGCUUCCAGAAUCCACGGUGGCCGAUGCUUUUGCUUAGCUUUUAAGCUUUGACC
rnacentral:snoRNA from 1 species